AUGAGCAGUGCUUGACCAGAAGUUCAGAACCUUGACAUAGAGAUACAAAAAGCCAAGAAACUUCAGUUUGUAGUAAAGACAUAGAAGAGAGAACUCCAGUUGACUGUCAAGAUAUUUCUUGUAUUGAUUGCAACCAAGUGUACUUGUUUAUAGCCUCCAAUUGUAUUUUAUCUCGGAUUUUGGACCGUGGGAUGACAGAUUAAUAAAGUUCCACACAAGCCACACCAAAGUCCGUGGAUAUAUUUCUGUUGGAGUGAGAGUAGUUAACCGAAACUCCGUCCGUUUAUCGAGGAUAAAGGGCGGCAGCCACAGUGCAGAUUUUCCAUCGGGGCAGUUGUGGCUGGAGCAAGUAUCACUGAACCCAUUAUAGGCAAGACCUACGUCAAACCAGUCAUCAUUAUCACUUGUGUUCUCCUUUUUCAUUUAGUUUCAUUUAAUGAUUUCUGCAACUUUUCCAUCAACAAGCUAAGCAAAGAAAAAAACAAUAAACAGAGUAUGUAUCAAAAUAUGUGAUAAAUGAAAUAACGAAGAAAGUUGGAUUUUCUAUGACAUAGCAAUUAAACAAGGUUGCAGGGGUUGCCAUUACAAGCUUUAAUAGCUUGACUAUAUGCCAACACUUGGAAGCAUUUAGAAUAUAUGUAUCAUAUCAACUCGUAUUACACGGUUAAUUUAAAACUAUAUGUCCUAUAUUGACAUGAUUGAUGCAUUUUUAGUGAUUGCAAUAUACAAGGAAAAUAUAUACCAGCAAAAUAAAGGGUAUUAUAAACUGUAAUUUAGUACCAUAAGUAUCAUUUCAAUCAUUUCCUUCUUGCAUUCGGCCAGUAAUAUAGGGAUUGAUAUUACUUUGUUCAUAGAACCGGCAAUACAUACCGGAUACCAGAUUUUAGCUCCUCGAGAGCAAGAGCACACUUUGUUUUUCAGAUAAGCAGUAAUCGCGUUUGGAAAAAAAAAAAAUCCUGUUUAAAUACUCUGCAGGGAGUGUGGAAAGUGCAUAUAUUUUGUGUGGACAAGCCAGGAUCCAGCGAAGGGGUAAUUGUAGAGCACUCAGUGACGUCGCUCCGGUGUACUACGCACUAUAUAAGUAGUGGAAUAUCGUUAAGAUUCCAAUUAGAAGAUGGUGACUGUCAUUAAUACUACCACAUUUACACCCAUUAUGCAUAAUAGUAAUUAUUCGUGGAUAAUUCCUCUCAAUGAGACAGCCUGCGGCCCCGAGUAUGGUUGGUGGACAGAUAGCACGGGAUAUGUAACCAAAGUACUCAACCAUGUCUACGGGAUCACAUCGAUCGUCGGCAUCAUCGUCACGACUUUCCUGCUACUCACUAUCGCCUGCCGUUGUCGAUUUUGGAAGAAACGCUAAAUCUUCGCCUUUAACAUCAUUCUCGCUGACUUAGUGCUCGAUGCCAUAGUCCUGGCCCAGUAUGUGAGACAAAUGCUGAGAGACGUUCCAUCACCUUAUUGGUCAGCGUGGAUGACAGGGGCGUCGAUCCAUUUUUCAGAUUGGGGGGGG